AUUGAACGCUGGCGGAAUGCUUUACACAUGCAAGUCGAACGGCAGCACGGACUUCGGUCUGGUGGCGAGUGGCGAACGGGUGAGUAAUGUAUCGGAACGUGCCCAGUCGUGGGGGAUAACGUAGUGGAAAUUACGCUAAUACCGCAUACGAUCUAUGGAUGAAAGCGGGGGAUCGCAAGACCUCGCGAUUGGAGCGGCCGAUAUCAGAUUAGGUAGUUGGUGGGGUAAAGGCCCACCAAGCCAACGAUCUGUAGCUGGUCUGAGAGGACGACCAGCCACACUGGAACUGAGACACGGUCCAGACUCCUACGGGAGGCAGCAGUGGGGAAUUUUGGACAAUGGGCGAAAGCCUGAUCCAGCCAUUCCGCGUGCAGGAUGAAGGCCCUCGGGUUAUAAACUGCUUUUGUACAGAACGAAAAGGUUUCUACUAAUACUAGGAGCUCAUGACGGUACUGUAAGAAUAAGCACCGGCUAACUACGUGCCAGCAGCCGCAGUAA
rnacentral:rRNA from 1 species